CCUACGGGCGGCAGCAGUGGGGAAUAUUGGACAAUGGGGGGAACCCUGAUCCAGCCAUGCCGCGUGUGUGAAGAAGGCCCUCGGGUUGUAAAGCACUUUCAGUGAGGAAGAACGCCUGGUGGUUAAUACCCAUCAGGAAAGACAUCACUCACAGAAGAAGCACCGGCUAACUCCGUGCCAGCAGCCGCGGUAAUACGGAGGGUGCGAGCGUUAAUCGGAAUUACUGGGCGUAAAGCGCGCGUAGGUGGCUUGAUAAGCCGGUUGUGAAAGCCCCGGGCUCAACCUGGGAACGGCAUCCGGAACUGUCAAGCUAGAGUGCAGGAGAGGAAGGUAGAAUUCCCGGUGUAGCGGUGAAAUGCGUAGAGAGCGGGAGGAAUACCAGUGGCGAAGGCGGCCUUCUGGACUGACACUGACACUGAGGUGCGAAAGCGUGGGUAGCAAACAGGAUUAGAUACCCUGGUAGUC
rnacentral:rRNA from 1 species